UACGUAGGGGGCGAGCGUUGUCCGGAAUUACUGGGCGUAAAGAGAGCGUAGGCGGCACUACAAGUCUCAUGUGAAAUACCCGGGCUUAACUUGGGGGUUGCAUGGGAAACUGUAGAGCUUGAGUACAGGAGAGGCAAGCGGAAUUCCUAGUGUAGCGGUGAAAUGCAUAGAUAUUAGGAGGAACACCAGUGGCGAAGGCGGCUUACUGGACGGCAACUGACGCUGAGGCUCGAAAGCGUGGGGAGCAAACAGG
rnacentral:rRNA from 1 species